AAAGCAGCCUACCUUCUAUUUACUGCUUUUGAAUAGUGGUAUUUUAUCAAAUAAAACCCUGUAACCAACGUAAUUAUGAAGGACUUGGAUAAUUUUAAUGGAAAUAAAGAAGAAAAAGCACUUGGAAUCUCACAGAUUAAAGUUUCCAUUUAACCCUCAAAUGUGAAUAAUGCAAGCAAUGAUUCUGAAGCAGGCAAUAUGAAAGAAAGGAUAGCAGAAAAGGAAAAAAAAGAAGGAGAGGAAGAAUAAGAUGAAGAAGAAAAAGAAGAAGAGAAGGAGGAGGAGGAAGAAGAAAAAGAUGAAGAAAAUCAUGUUAAUCCUUAGGAAUUUCACUCUGAAGAGUAACUGGGUCCUAUCUCCAAAUAUAGUCACAUUGGAAGUUAGACAUUCAACACAUGAAUUCUGGAAGGACACAAACUUCCAGUCCAUAACAAGAGCUGAAGUAUUUUUACAUCAAUUUCCAUUACUUCUGGCACUUCUGGACUACCAUGUGUGUGAACAAAAGGGCGUUUGCAAUCAGAAGAGGCUCUCAGAUAAAGAUGUGCAAGUUCCGGCAAUUGGAAAUGGGCCAGGUAUACACUGAAGUGGUAAAGACGGGGGGAAUAUCAGGGGGAUGUCAAUAGCAACUACUUUACUUCUUUAAUCAGUAUUUUCUGAAAAGCCUGCCAUAAUUUACCCAUCUAAAUAAACUUAGCCAUGUAUUGGGGAACUCAGAAAUUCUGACGUCACUUCAAAUCACCUAUGGAAAUGUGUAAGAAGGAUCGUUUUUACUGAAUUCAUUUGUUUUAUAAUUUUAUUUUUCUUAAUCAUUUGUGCUUUCUUCCUAUUGUGUCAAAAUGAGAUAACC
rnacentral:lncRNA from 1 species